GAUGAAAGAUGGUAAGAAAAAAAGAAUACAAAGCAACUUAUUUUCAAAAUGCCAUAUUAGAACUACAGUAUUUGAACAUAUAAAAUUUCUCCGUUGCCAUCCAUCGUUUGUCUUUUCUUUUGAAUUAAUGGAGCCAUUACCUUGACUAAUUCUAAGCUCAAAAAGAAGCAUUUUGCUUCCUUAGCAGGAAAUGCACAAGUUCGUUUUUUCUGCUGAUUAACCUAUUCGAACUUCUUUAGCCUGAAUUUGCUCGUGGGGAAUCUGCUGAGGACGCGAUGAUCCAGCUUUUGGUAAUGGCAUUGAAACUUUUCGAGAGCAUUAUAUACGAAGCCAUCAACUUGAUCAUCAUACCUUUCAUACAGCACGGGAAGCACAUGUGCAGCAACAAAGCCAAUGUACAGAACAGUAAAAAAAUUGCACCAGCUUCCAAUAAUAGCAGCAACCAACAAGCUCGCCACAACCGCUAAGAAUUGUUUGAUGUUAGUCCCACAGGCAACAUCUUGAAGGAAGCCCAAAGCACGGUUUACUUCAGCUCCUAUUGACUUGGCGAUGCUGAUGAAAAGGUCAUCACCUAAGACAAGACGAGGGACCUUAGCUGGAGACCUGUUUAUCAUGCCAGAAGCAUUUUUCCAAAGAAACUGAAUAAUCAUACCAAUGACAAGAGCAAAGCAUAGAAGUGAAAGAAAAUUGUAGUUCAG
rnacentral:misc_RNA from 1 species